rnacentral:rRNA from 1 species
GAUAAACGCUGGCGGCGUGCAUAACACAUGCAAGUCGAACGAUGAAACUUAGAUGAUUUCUUCGGAAUGAACUUAAGCGGAUUAGUGGCGAACGGGUGAGUAACACGUGAGUAACCUGCCUUACACAAGGGGAUAGCCUUUGGAAACGAAGAAUAAUACCCUAUAACGUCAAUUUAUCGCAUGAUAGAAUGACCAAAGAUUUAUCGGUGUAAGAUGGACUUGCGUCUGAUUAGCUAGUUGGUGAGAUAAAGGCCCACCAAGGCAACGAUCAGUAGCCGGCUUGAGAGAGUGUACGGCCACAUUGGGACUGAGACACGGCCCAAACUCCUACGGGAGGCAGCAGUGGGGAAUUUUGCACAAUGGGGGAAACCCUGAUGCAGCGACGCCGCGUGAUUUAGAAGGCCUUCGGGUUGUAAAAAUCUUUUUUAUGGGAUGAAAAUGACAGUACCAUAAGAAUAAGGUCCGGCUAAAUACGUGCCAGCAGCCGCGGUAAUACGUAUGGACCGAGCGUUGUCCGGAAUCAUUGGGCGUAAAGGGUACGUAGGCGGCCCAGUAAGUUAGAAGUGAAAUAAUAUAGCUCAACUAUAUAAAGCUUUUAAAACUGCUAGGCUUGAGAGAUGGAAGGGAAAGUGGAAUUCCUAGUGUAGCGGUGAAAUGCGCAGAUAUUAGGAAGAAUACCGGUGGCGAAGGCGACUUUCUGGUCAUCAUCUGACGCUGAGGUACGAAAGCGUGGGUAGCAAACAGG